AAAAAAAAAAACCCCAAAAAACAAACAAACUCUUGAACACUGUGUAUCCAGUACAAGAUGUCUGACAAGCAGAAAGCCAGCAUCUAGAGGAGACAUCUAACUGCUACAACGGAUUUUAGUGAGCAGUUGGUGAUAAACGCAGUUAGCCCCUCCUUGGUUUAAAGCAAUUAAUUCAGGCACCCUGACAUCAACUCUCCAAUCCUCUGACAGCUUGGAGCCCAAAUCAAAAUGCUAGUUCUCCUGGGAACAGGAGAAGAUAGCUGGCUCUUUUCUGGACUGUUUGCUCACUGGGCCUGAGAGCAAUCUUCCUUGCUGAAUGAAAUGCAAGGACACAAACAAUGUGGCGGCGAGAGAAUGGAAGACGGGGAAUGAACAGUUUGGACUAUUUGCUCAGCAGAAGGGCAGUCACAAUGGCUGGCCCAUGGCUUUCCCAUGCAUCAAGCCUCUUAGUCUUAGCACUCCUUUGUUGCUGGGUUUCGUUCAGAUAAGAGCCCAGCUGCCCCAUGCGUUUAAUUCCCAUUGUACACCAUACUGUAUAGCCAUUUAUCUGCUUUUAGGUGGCUUUUUGUCAUUUUGUUAUUCCAUAAGUGUGCAUCAUAUCACCCAUGUAUCUCCAGGGUCUGGCUUCAGCUUUGCAUGUGCAGUCGCUUAGGGAGGAUGGACCAAGAAAACAAACAAGGUAUGGAUCAAUUUGCAAAAGUUCAUCAGUUGCAGCCCUAACCCUUCAAACCUUGAUGGAAGUGCUUGCUUGCCAAUCAUCCUCACAUCACCUUCACCUGCAGUCAUGUCUGACCUGGCCGCAUAUGAGAGAUAACAUUCGUGUCUGCAGAGCUGAGAGAGGGGACAAAAGGAAGUUUGACGUUAAUGAUUAACGGCGCUAAAAGCCCCUGCUUUUGUAUUCCCAUGGUACCGAGGCUAUCUGGUGGCCAUGUGACCUGCGUGGAGGAGAUUGGGGGUUAGCGGUAGAGCAAACACAGGUGCUGUGUUUGGGUUGGAGUCGCCUGCGCUGUCAGGGACAACCACAAACACACGCAGCUAUGCCAAGCUCCACAAACAGCCGCCUACGCCAACAGAUCAAGUCCAAUGUGCUCCUCCCCGUCUUCCUAUAUGUUCCACAUUGGAAAAAGUACCUGAUUUAUGUCUAGUGCAUUCUAGCUGGGGCAUUCUUAAGGAUUGUCCUUGAUGUAUAGUCUAAAUAAAAACACAAUUGCCUUUUACUUUUAUAAUAAUAAAAAAAACUAUUAAUACAUGCUUUCAUUUAUGUACCUGUAUAUUCCACUGUGCUGAAUGAUCAUGUUCUCAUGCCACAUGCAACUGCUAAUCAAUUUUGCUGAGGUUGCCUCACUGUAAUUAAUGAGCUGUUCUCAAUCAUUCUCAAUCAUGCUAAACACAAUGUU
ensembl:lncRNA